rnacentral:sRNA from 1 species
AAUCGAAGACAAAAGAAGAGGCGAAAAAGGAGAAGAAAAAAU